rnacentral:rRNA from 1 species
UCUUGUGGAAAUUAUAUUGUAUUUUUGAUAAUGAAAAAAGGGUCGGGCCUGGUUAGUACUUGGAUGGGAGACCGCCUGGGAAUACCAGGUGCUGUAAGCU